AGACAGAGGGGGCAAGCGUUGCUCGGAAUCACUGGGCGUAAAGGGCGCGUAGGCGGGAUGGCAAGUCGGUCGUGAAAUCCUUCGGCUCAACCGAAGAACGUCGGCCGAUACUGCUGUUCUUGAGGGAUGCAGAGGAGACUGGAAUUCCCGGUGUAGCGGUGAAAUGUGUAGAGAUCGGGAGGAACACCGGUGGCGAAGGCGGGUCUCUGGGCAUUUCCUGACGCUGAGGCGUGAAAGCGUGGGGAGCAAA
rnacentral:rRNA from 1 species